AACGAACGCUGGCGGCAGGCUUAACACAUGCAAGUCGAGCGCCCCGCAAGGGGAGCGGCAGACGGGUGAGUAACGCGUGGGAAUCUACCCAUCUCUACGGAAUAACGCAUGGAAACGUGUGCUAAUCCCGUAUACGUCCUUCGGGAGAAGGAUUUAUCGGAGAUGGAUGAGCCCGCGUUGGAUUAGCUAGUUGGUGGGGUAAAGGCCUACCAAGGCGACGAUCCAUAGCUGGUCUGAGAGGAUGAUCAGCCACACUGGGACUGAGACACGGCCCAGACUCCUACGGGAGGCAGCAGUGGGGAAUAUUGGACAAUGGGCGCAAGCCUGAUCCAGCCAUGCCGCGUGAGUGAUGAAGGCCCUAGGGUUGUAAAACUCUUUCACCGGUGAAGAUAAUGACGGUAACCGGAGAAGAAGCCCCGGCUAACUGCGUGCCAGCCGCCGCCGUAAUAC
rnacentral:rRNA from 1 species